UGUGAUUGGUUUGAGAUCACCAAGCAUGCUUGAAUUAUACAUCAUUGUUUCUCUUACUUUUGUUUACUAACCAAAAGCACAAAAAUGUGUCACUAACAUCUUUUGUUUGAAGCUUGAGUAUCAUCCAAGACACUUUAUGGGUUCUAUUUAGAUGACCAGUCAACACAAGGGAAUGACUUGAGAUACUUCCAACAGGUUCAAAUGGGGUAUAUUCGUCAGUCAAAACGUUAAUCUUGAAGGAGCAAAAGUUUGUUCAUGAGUUGUCAUGCUCGCUAGGCGAGCAGAAUGGGUCGCCUAGCGAGUCCCCAAGAAAAGCCACCAGAAUCACAUACGCUCAGAGGAAUUUCUUGAACUAUCAUGCUCGCUAGGCGAAGCCCACGUGUUUAAAAAAAAGAAAAA
rnacentral:lncRNA from 1 species